rnacentral:rRNA from 1 species
UACGAAGGGGGCUAGCGUUGUUCGGAUUUACUGGGCGUAAAGCGCACGUAGGCGGAUCGAUCAGUCAGGGGUGAAAUCCCAGAGCUCAACUCUGGAACUGCCUUUGAUACUGUCGAUCUGGAGUAUGGAAGAGGUGAGUGGAAUUCUGAGUGUAGAGGUGAAAUUCGUAGAUAUUCGGAGGAACACCAGUGGCGAAGGCGGCUCACUGGUCCAUUACUGACGCUGAGGUGCGAAAGCGUGGGGAGCAAACAGG